rnacentral:rRNA from 1 species
UACGUAGGUGGCAAGCGUUAUCCGGAAUUAUUGGGCGUAAAGCGCGCGUAGGCGGUUUCUUAAGUCUGAUGUGAAAGCCUUCGGCUCAACCGAAGAAGUGCAUCGGAAACUGGGAAACUUGAGUGCAGAAGAGGACAGUGGAACUCCAUGUGUAGCGGUGAAAUGCGUAGAUAUAUGGAAGAACACCAGUGGCGAAGGCGGCUGUCUGGUCUGUAACUGACGCUGAUGUGCGAAAGCGUGGGGAUCAAACAGG